GGAAGAGUGGGCUGGGGUUGGACAUUUCCCUUUUCCCAUGUAGAAAGGUAGAGAAUGCUGGAGUUGGGUAUUUCCCUUCUCCCAGGUUGGUUGGGCUCUGAUGAUACCCGUGUUGUGGUUAAUCUGGGCUCUGGUUAACCAGUUUCUCCUGUGAGCCGGCCUUAUUAAGAACGGAGUGCUCUCAUGUAUUUCAAAAUGGUCCCUUUUCCCCUCCCCUGCUAGGGGCAUAAGGGGAUUUUUCUUUGGUCUUUACUGUGGGGAUUUGGUUGAGCUCCUGGAGGUAAAUAUCACGAUACUGUGGGUGCCUCCCUAUGACAGGAUCUCCCUGGAGUUUUUAAUGUUCAGAGUUUUCCAUCCUGAGCCACCAGCAAUUUGUUGGUUACAGUUAGGAUUUUCCUUCCCUGGCCCUGGUUCCCAUGGAGGUUGCUGCUUGUAGAGUUCUGCUCUGGUGCAUCAUGGGUUGGCUGGAGAUUCUGGUCCAUAUUAUUCUCACUUGGAUUCCAGGCUGAGAGGACAGCACUGUCUGGAAGCUCACCAGUUUCUCUGGCAGAGGAAAGCAAGAGCAUGGAAAGUACUAUGGCUCCAAGAAAUCACACACACCCUCAUGGAGGAAUUCUACACACAAAACCUAUACUGCAGGAAGAACUGGGCCAUGGGAUUUCUGUUGUCCUCCCACGUUAAGACACUGCAGGGUUCAACUGCAAAGCAUGAUCCUCUCCUGAGUGGAGACUUUGUUGAAAGGGUUUCUGUUGCAUUAGAUGAGAGACUGAAAUUAAGGGAAAUCUAACAUACACCAAGGGACCAUUUUCCCUGAAGAAUAAUAAAGGUCGAGUAAAAGAAUUGUGUUAAAUAUAUGCUUGCUUUUAUCUACUUCCUCAGCAACUGUCUUAUUUUAGAUGAAAGGUAGGGGUUUUCUUUAGAAACAUAAAGUGUCAGGCAUUAACGGGGUUUUUAUUAUUUAUAUUCUGAGCUUCAUUAUGAUUGAUGCUGUCUCAUUUUUUCCAUUAUAAACCCCUUCUUCUCAAGGGGCUGUAACUCCCCCAAUAAAAAGAAUGGCUUCAGGCAAGGACUGGAAGCAUUUGCUCUCAGCUUAGGAGGACUUUUGUUUUUCCAGGUCUUGAAAAUGAAAAUCCAUUAAAUUCUUUUUAAAUUAUGGGAGUGUUAAAAAGAAAAAAAAAACGCCUCAGAAAUUACUGCUUUCAUAUGUGUCUCUUUACUACCUGGGCUCAGAAUUGUUUUUGAACAGCUGCAGGCCCCCUCUGAUUAUAUUAACAGUCCCUCCUUUAUUAUCUGCGAUAAUUCAGUAAUGUCCAUAUGGACCCUGUCCACUGGCUUCCUCAGAGAUGCUUGCUGGAGGUGGUUUGUUGAGUAGCUUGAAGGGAUCAUUUCUCUUUCUCUGAUAGAUGGCCUGGGUCUCCCAGAAGAGAGUGUUUCACUCAGCACAUGGUCACCUUCCCUUAGGGAAACAAAACAGUGAGUUGCCAUUCUGUGGGCAGUGCACUGCUGGUGGACAUGUUACUCUGAAGACGACAGUGUGUUAGAAACAACUUAAAAAUGUCCCUCCCUAUUUUGCUCCCAGAGAAGUUCUGAUCUAGAGACUAUCAUGGACUCAGGUUGUGGGCUAUAGAUAAAUUCAGGCUGAAGGUGAGGCCCUGGAGGUACAUUUCGGAGACUCUCUAGAAGCCUGAGGUCUAACCAUGGCAUGAGUUUGAGACUCUGGUUAUGCCAGAGUGGUCCUGGGCUUUAGGAUAUGACUGAGGAUGACCUCUGUAGGUGAGUUAUACGUGAGGGUCAUUAAUAGCAUCAUUAACAUUCAUUUCUUCGUCUGCUUUCCAGCCAGUACUAUGUCAUAAUGAGUAUUUUAAAAACAAGAUUUCCAGUAGUUCAGUGCUUCUGGAAUACACACACAUACACCCCCCCCCCCCAGUAACCCAUUAAAUUUUCUGUAGCUACUUUUGUCCUGAAAUGGCUUAAAAGAGAGACAGACAUCUAUAGAAUAUGAUACAUUCUGGAAUGUUCUGGAAAGAUUACUUUUUGGAAUAGAUUAGGGACAGACUUAUAAAGCGGUGACAAUAAAUAGUGUUGUCAAAGUUGUUCAUAUAGGCAAAAAAAAUUAGAUUCCUAUGUCACAUCAUACAAAGGAAGAUAUAGGUCUUUUUUUUUUCCUAAAAGUUUUUAGAAGCAAAUAUAGGGGAGGGUAUUUUAGAGAAUGCAUAAGGCUCCAAAAUCAUUAUGCAAAAUGCCAAAUUUGACUGUAUCCAAGUAGGCAAAUCCGAAAAAAAACCUCACAAACCUCAUGAAGGUAUUAUUUUUCUGAAUUUUUUUUUUAACAUUUAUU